rnacentral:rRNA from 1 species
UACAGAGGGCGCGAGCGUUGUCCGGAAUCACUGGGCGUAAAGGGCGCGUAGGUGGCCACUAUAAGGCCGCGGUGAAAGUUCGGGGCUCAACCCUGAAUCUGCCGCGGCGACUGUAGGGCUAGGGCACCGUAGAGGCAGAUGGAAUUCCGGGUGUAGCGGUGGAAUGCGUAGAGAUCCGGAAGAACACCGGUGGCGAAGGCGGUCUGCUGGCGGUGAACUCGCAAGAGUUCGAAUAGCCGACACUGAGGCGCGACGAGCGUGGGAGCAAACGGG